UGUGGAGGAGACAGUGAUGGAGGUGGCUUCAGUGGUGGAGAUGGAAGUGGAGGACUCUGCUGAGGUGGUGGGGGCUUCUGUGGAGGUGACAGUAAUGGAGGUGGCUUCAGUGGUGAAGGUGGUGGAGAGUCCUGAGGUAGUUGGAGCUGUUGUGGAGGUCAUCUCUGCUGAGGUGACACCAGUGGGGGUGGCCUCAGUAGUGGGGAGGGCAGUGGAGGAGGGUCCUGAGGCGGUGGUGGGUUCUGUGGAGGUCAUACCUGUGGAGAUGAGCGGAGUUGAGAAGGCUCCAGUGGUGGAGAAGGAUGUGGAGGACUGUUCUGAGGUGGUGGGGGCUUCUGUGGAGGUCCCCUCUGUGGAGAUGACAGGAGUUGAGGUGGCUCCAGUGGUCCAGAACGAUGUGGAGGAAUGUUCUGAGGUGGUGGGGGCUGCUGUGGAGGUCACCUCGGUGGAGGUAGAAAUAGUGGAGGUGGCUCCCGUGGUGGAGAAGGGGGUGGAGGACUCUGCAGAGGUGGUAGUGGCUUCUGUGGAGGUCCCCUCUGUGGAGAUGACAGGAGUUGAGGUGGCUCCAGUGGUGGGGAAGGUGGUGGAGGAAUGUUCUGAGGUGGUGGGGGCUGUCGUGGUGGUCAUCUCUGUUGAGGUGACACCAGUGGAGGUGGCCUCAGUGGUGGGGAGAGAAGUGGAGGCGAGUCCUGAGGUGGUGGUGGGUUCUGUGGAGGUCAUACCAGUGGAGAUGAGAGGAGUUGAGGUGGCUCCAGUGGUCAAGAAAGUUGUGGAGGAAUGUUCUGAGGUGAUGGGGGAUUCUGUGGAGGUGACAGUGAUGGAGGUGGCUUCUGUAGUGAAGGUGCUGGAGGAGAGUCCAGAGGUAGUUGGGGCUGUCGUGGAGGACAUCUCUGUUGAGGUGAGAUCAGUGGAGGUGGCCUCAGUGGUGGGGAGAGCAGUGGAGGAGAGUCCUGUGGUGGUGGUGGGUUCUGUGGCGGUCAUACCAGUGGAGGUGGCUCCAGUGGUCAAGAAGGUGGUGGAGGAAUGUCCUGAGGUGGUGGGGGAUUCUGUGGUGGUCACCUCUGUGGAUGUGGAAGCAGUGGAGGUGGCUUCAGUGGUGGAGAUGGAAGUGGAGGACUCUGCUGAAGUGGUGGUAGGUGCUGUGGAGGUCCCCUCUGUGGAGAUGACAGGAGUUGAGGUGGCUCCAGCGGUGGAGAACGAUGUAGAGGGAUGUCCUGAGGGGGUGGGGGCUUCUGUGGGGGUUACCUCUGUGGAGGUGACACCAGUGGUGGUGGCCUCAGGGGUGUAGAUGGAAGUGGAGGACUCUGCUGAAGUGGUGGGGGCUUCUGUGGAG
rnacentral:lncRNA from 1 species